rnacentral:tRNA from 3 species
GCCGGGGUGGCGCAGUAGGUAGCGCGCUCGGCUGUUAACCGAGCGGUCGGAGGUUCGAGUCCUCCCCCCGGCG